UUGUAAAAUUAAAUAUGCAUCCAUAUAAUCCUGAUAAUAGGGUUCGGGAGUUUCUACAAAAAGCCUUAAACUUUUUGGCUAUGGGUAAAUUUAUAAAGCAG
rfam:Clostridium pasteurianum DSM 525 = ATCC 6013, complete genome.